GUGAGGAAUAUUGGUCAAUGGACGGAAGUCUGAACCAGCCAUGCCGCGUGCAGGAAUAAGGUCCUAUGGAUUGUAAACUGCUUUUAUUCGGGAAUAAACCUCUUUACGUGUAGGGAGCUGAAGGUACCGAAGGAAUAAGCACCGGCUAACUCCGUGCCAGCAGCCGCGGUAAUACGGAGGGUGCAAGCGUUAUCCGGAAUCAUUGGGUUUAAAGGGUCCGCAGGCGGGCUAUCAAGUCAGAGGUGAAAUCCCACAGCUUAACUGUGGAACUGCCUUUGAAACUGAUGGUCUUGAAUUAAGUGGGCGUUGGCGGAAUAUGACAUGUAGCGGUGAAAUGCAUAGAUAUGUCAUGGAACACCGAAAGCGAAGGCAGCUAACGAUACUUAUAUUGACGCUCAUGGACGAAAGCGUGGGUAGCGAACAGGAUUAGAUACCCGAGUAGUCC
rnacentral:rRNA from 1 species